AACGAACGCUGGCGGCAAGCUUAACACAUGCAAGUCGAACGCCCCGCAAGGGGAGUGGCAGACGGGUGCGUAACGCGUGGGAACAUACCCUUUUCUACGGAAUAGCUCUGGGAAACUGGAAUUAAUACCGUAUACGCCCUACGGGGGAAAGAUUUAUCGGGGAAGGAUUGGCCCGCGUUGGAUUAGCUAGUUGGUGGGGUAAAGGCCUACCAAGGCGACGAUCCAUAGCUGGUCUGAGAGGAUGAUCAGCCACAUUGGGACUGAGACACGGCCCAAACUCCUACGGGAAGCAGCAGUGGGGAAUAUUGGACAAUGGGCGCAAGCCUGAUCCAGCCAUGCCGCGUGAGUGAUGAAGGCCUUAGGGUUGUAAAGCUCUUUCACCGAUGAAGAUAAUGACGGUAGUCGGAGAAGAAGCCCCGGCUAACUUCGUG
rnacentral:rRNA from 1 species